GUUCCUGAGUACAGAAACUUCUGUCCUUAUGGAGUUGGGGUGCACCUCCCUCCUCACUUGUGGAUGAGUUCUUGCUUGCCAAAGUGGAAGCAAGAGUGAAAGUUCCAAUCCUCUAAAGUCAUAGUUGUUACCUUGGUAACCAGCCCCCAUCCUGAGGUAAUCUAGGCGCUCCCAGCUACCAGUCAUCUCAUUAGGACACAAAAAAUACUUUUUUUUUUCUGACAUAGGAUACUGUGUCACCCAAGCUGGAGCACAAUGGCAUGAUCAUGGCUCACUGCAGCCUCUACCUCCUACACUCAAGUGAUCCUCCUGCCUCAGCCUCCUGAGUAGCUGGGACUUCAAGCAAGCAGCCACCACAUCUGGCUAACAAAAGAUACUCUUAUCUCUUGGGAAUUCUAAGGAUUUUGGAUGCUUAAGUGAGGAAAUGGGGAAUAAGACCAAAUAUGCGUUUCGUUAUAAAACACAAGGAAACAUGGGGAAGUGAUAGAAGUCUGAAAUCAAACUAGCUGGGAAACUACAUUUAUCGUUGGACUGAGUAUAUGGUUGGUUUGACUUGAUUCCAAUUGUUUUUCCAUUCCAACCUUCCUUCGCCUUUUUGUCCUUGAUCUAAUUGUCCUUUGUUGAAUAAAUGAAUAAUAUGGAUGAGUGAUAUAAGUGCCCUUGAAAAAAAAAAUCACCUGAAGAACAUUACACUGUGGUUCCAUUGAAAUUAAGCCUUCUGGCCCCCGGGUAAAUUGCUCUGUGAUUCUUAACCUAAAUGGCAAUUAAACAAUCCUCUGGAUCCUGGAUCUUACUGAAUAUUCACUACUAAAGAGAUGACAAAAUUUCACUGAAGUGGGGAAUUAAAUGAAGACAAGGAUGCCAUGUUGAAUGGUCCGUGGUGGAUCAGCUAUGUCUGUCUUUCAUGAUCUCUUUACUCUAGGGCCAGGCUGACUGAGCAGCUCCUAUCUGGGACAUUAUUGAUGCCUGGGUAAAGAGAUUAUCGUGAAGCAAAUACUGGCUGUUAAGGCUUCGGCUUGAAGUCAUGGGCUAAUCCUGACUGACAUCAAAGGAGUGGAACGUAGAAUCUUCUCUGGAGGAAUGGGUUCCCUGCAGGGAGGGGCAGCAAGUAUUUUGAAUAAAAGUACAAUCCAACAUCGUAAUGCAUAUAAAAGCACUUACUGAACAGUAGAACUCCAUGUGAAUGCAAGUUCUUCUUCAUCUGCCCAAAGUCUACCAGCCAAUCAGUGUUGAACCUGAGACUACAACUCCAGGUGGCUCUAAACCCAGCCCAGUGUUUUCUCCUUCUCUGUAGUGAUUCACUGACACCUUUCCUUCCACAUUUUAAUGCUCAAUAAAACAUUAAUUUUAGAAUUACCAAUCAACAUAUUCCCUUUGCCAGAUAUAGGAACAAAUUUUUCUAAGAAUAAACCUCUCUUGCUGUCUCUCUCCUUCCUUUCACUCUCUCUAUAUAUUUGAUAAGAAUUGUUUUAAAGAGUCUGCAGCUUUCAGUUUGAUUGAUAGUUUUAUACUACACGCUAGAAAGCCUUGUCACGUGUGUCUUAAAUCAGCCAUUUCAACCUUAGGUGUUUUAUUUGUGGAGAGAAGACUUCCAUCAUGAACAUUUUUUUUUUUCUGACAGAAUAUGUCCUUAAAAAUAUGUAAAUUCCAUUACUAGCUUUAUUGCUCUCCCAUAAUUUCCUUAUUUGCCUCUGAAUUAUGCUUAGAAAGGCAAGAUGGAUAAUAUAAGCUUUCCAAUGUUUUAUGAAAGAUUUAGAUGCAGACUCUUUGUAAACCACUACUCCCAAGCUCUUCUCUUUCCACUAAUACAGGCAUUAGAGCCCAGGAAACUCACUUGCUGUAGAAGCUGAUCUGCAGAAUCAAUAGGAUUGCUUGCCAGACUAAAAGAGCUAUGAUGUUUUGAUCCCCACAGCUUUUUUUUUUUUUGAUAGCCUUUUAUGUAGCAGCACCAGUUGCUUCCAGACUUAAUAUACUUUUUCCAGUGGGGUUUUGAUACAAGCCUCCACCAUGCUCUUGUUUUAGUUUUUGCAGAAUUGCAGGAGUAGAGUUGACAUGUUCUUUCAGGGGGAUGGAAAAUUGAGUUCUGUCUUUUAGCUAUGGAUUGUUCAAUAGGUUGCAAUACAGUUGUUAUACCACUAGCCCA